rnacentral:lncRNA from 1 species
GCUCCCUAUGGAUCCCUAUGGCUUUUUAUGGUCCCUACAUGUCCCUACGUGUCCCUAUGGAUCCCUAUGUGUCCCUACGGGUCCCUAUGUGUCCCUAUGGAUCCCUAUGUGUCCCUACGGAUCCCUAUGGAUCCCUAUGGAUCCCCGUGGUCUCUGUGGUCCCUAUGUGUCCCUACGUGUCCCUAUGUGUCCCUAUGUGUCCCUAUGGAUCCCCGUGGUUCCUAUGUGUCCCUAUGGAUCCCUGUGGUCCCUAUGGAUCCCUGUGGAUCCCUAUGGAUCCCCGUGGUCCCUACGUGUCCCUAUGUGUCCCUACGGAUCCCUAUGGAUCCCUAUGGAUCCCUGUGGUCCCUAUGUGUCCCUAUGGAUCCCUGUGGUCCCUACAGAUCCCUAUGGAUCCCCGUGGUCCCUGUGCUCCCUAUGUGUCCCUAUGUGUC